rnacentral:rRNA from 1 species
AUUGAACGCUGGCGGCAGGCCUAACACAUGCAAGUCGAGCGAGCGCCGGACGGGUGUGAAAUGUAUGGGGACUGCCCGAUAGAGGGGGAUAACCACUGGAAACGGUAGCUAAUACCGCAUACUAUCGGCUAACCCAUAUGGGAUUAGCUAGUAGGUGGGGUAAUGGCUCACCUAGGCGACUAUCACUAGCGGGUCUGAGAGGAUGAUCAGCCACCCUGGGACUGGGACACGGCCCAGACUCCUACGGAGGCAGCAGUGGGGAAUUUUGGACAAGGGGGGAAAUCCUGAUGCAGCAAUCCCGCGUGUAUGAUGAAGGCCUUCGGGUUGUAAAGUACUUUUAGCGGGGAGGCGGUAUCUGCAGAAUAAGCACCGGCUAACUACGUGCCAGCCGCCGCGGUAAUUC